AGAGAUGAACCCCAUUUAGGUCUGCAUCACUAAGUUUGUGCAAUUAAAAUUUGCAAUUUAUGGUUUAGCCUGUGCAUAUUUCAUAUUAUACAACACAAUGGUUAUAGAGCAGUUUCUCAUUGCAAUAGAGCUCACACACAGUGAGGUGAUUUUGUAAUUUGACUCCUUUGGGAAUGUCUUGGCAUUUUAUACUGAUUUAUUUUACUAAGAUUCUUCCUUUUCUAUAUGUAUGCAUAGUUUCAUGUGUGUAUAUUCUUAAUGGAUUAAUGAUCGUUAUUCCGUUUUUGUGAUUCUGCUCUUUUAUCCAGGAAUCAGCUACUAGAAAAUGUAUUCAGAUAGAAUGUUGUCAACUGUGUGUUUUAUACAUUGUUGCCAUUUGAAUUAAUGCUGUUAUACUGCUAUAGAUCCUCCCUGUAUGUUUUUAUUGUUAUGUUAUGCACGCUGGGAUUGUUACUAGGCAACCCGGUUUGCUUAGGUCACAUGAUACGACGUCAUUACGCACGUAAUGGCGGGCGCCAGUGGGCGUCUAUCACAGGGCGGUUUUGCAUCGCUAGAUGAUCACUUUGAUUAUUGGGUAAGUUUACUAGAUUCACGGCUAUAUAAUGAUUGUUUGUCACACUGUGGGG